UCUAUAUCUAUAUCUAUAUCUAUCUAUCUAUCUAUCUAUCUAUCAAAAUAAUUUUCCCUUCUGUAACUUCAGCCGCACUGGUGUAUGCUCAGCGGCAGGGUUAAAAAAGUUUAUUUCCUGACGUGUGUACAAUAUAUAUAGCUAGCUACAACCGUCCACGAAAAUAUAGCUCUCUAUUCCCCCUUAAUGUUAAGAACUGCUCAUUUGUGGCUAAGCAACGUAAACAAUUACACAUGACAUACCUGUAUAUAAACAUUUACUAUCUGCAAAAUACCUAGCUGGCUAUGUAUGGCCAUUUUGUGGACGAUUGUAGCUAGAACAAGCUGUAUGAUGGGACAUUCCUACAGAGUAGAAUUAUCUCACUCACUCUGUAGUAUAUAGCUAUGUAUAAUAGCUAGCUAGAUAGAGGAUAGGUAGAAAAUCAGUCUCAAACAAUUUUUCUAUGCUAGCUAUGUUGCUGAUUUUAUGCCAGCAAAAAUAGCAAUUUAUUGCUAGCUACAUGGGUAGUUCUAUCCCAGCUAAGUAGUUAAUUUUAUGCUAGCCUUGUAGCUAGUUUGAUGCUAGCUAUAUUGCAUUGUUUGUUUGUUUUUAUGCUAGCUAACUCUUACAGUAGCUAGGUAGCUAAAUGCUAUCUAAGUUCUAUUAUUAUUCUAAAUCUGCAGUUUUAAGCUAGCUAGCUUUAGGUGUGAGUGAGAAUAAGAAUGGGUUCAUUACAUGUAAAAAAUAGUGAUAUACAAGCGAGCUAAACAUACCCUUUCUUCAUUUUCUUGAACAAGCCCUUCCUCCUUCGGCUGCGAUAUAGCUAGCUUAGAUUAACGGAAGUUUGAGUUUGAGGCGCUAUGUUAUCCGAGAAAAAG